rnacentral:rRNA from 1 species
UACGUAGGGUGCAAGCGUUAAUCGGAAUUACUGGGCGUAAAGCGUGCGCAGGCGGUUGUGCAAGACCGAUGUGAAAUCCCCGGGCUUAACCUGGGAAUGGCAUUGGUGACUGCACGGCUAGAGUGUGUCAGAGGGGGGUAGAAUUCCACGUGUAGCAGUGAAAUGCAUAGAGAUGUGGAGGAAUACCGAUGGCGAAGGCAGCCCCCCUGGGAUAACACUGACGCUCAUGCACGAAAGCGUGGGGAGCAAACAGG